rnacentral:rRNA from 1 species
UACGUAGGGCGCAAGCGUUAUCCGGAAUUAUUGGGCGUAAAGAGCUCGUAGGCGGCUCGUUGCGUCGGCUGUGAAAACCCGCAGCUCAACUGUGGGCUUGCAGCCGAUACGGGCGGGCUGGAGUUCGGUAGGGGAGACUGGAAUUCCUGGUGUAGCGGUGAAAUGCGCAGAUAUCAGGAGGAACACCGGUGGCGAAGGCGGGUCUCUGGGCCGAUACUGACGCUGAGGAGCGAAAGCGUGGGGAGCGAACAGG